rnacentral:rRNA from 1 species
CGCAGCCGCGGUAAUUCCAGCUCCAAUAGCGUAUAUUAAAGUUGUUGCAGUUAAAAAGCUCGUAGUUGAAUUUCGGGAUCAAUAUAUUGGUCGUGCCUCCGGUAUGCACUGGUAUCAUUGAUUUCUACCUUCUGACGAACUAUGAUGUCAUUAAUUUGGUGUCAUAGGGAAUCAGGACUGUUACUUUGAAAAAAUUAGAGUGUUUAAAGCAGGCACACGCUUGAAUACAUUAGCAUGGAAUAAUGAAAUAGGACGUUUGACCCUAUUUUGUUGGUUUCUAGGAUCGACGUAAUGAUUAAUAGGGAUAGUUGGGGGCAUUAGUAUUCAAUUGUCAGAGGUGAAAUUCUUGGAUUUAUUGAAGACUAACUACUGCGAAAGCAUUUGCCAAGGAUGUUUUCAUUAAUCAAGAACGAAAGUUAGGGGAUCGAAGACGAUCAGAUACCGUCGUAGUCUUAACCAUAAACUAUGCCGACUAGGGAUCGGAUGAUGUUAAUUUUUUAAUGACCCAUUCGGCG